UAGUGAAGGAUCAAGCUUUGGAGAG
rnacentral:piRNA from 1 species